rnacentral:misc_RNA from 1 species
AAGUCGUAACAAGGUUUCCGUAGGUGAACCUGCGGAAGGAUCAUUAUUGAAUUCGAGGGUUGUGCUGGUUCUUACAAGUGCACGCUCUCUUCAAUUUCUAUACACCUGUGCACCUUUGUAGGUUCUGGAGAGCAAUCUCUGGUUCCUAUGUUUUUAUAUACCCUAUUUCAGUUUUAAGAAUGUUUAUUUUGUCUUUUGACGAAAAAAAUCUAUACAACUUUAAGCAACGGAUCUCUUGGCUCUC